rnacentral:rRNA from 1 species
GAUCAUGGCUCAGGACGAACGCUGGCGGCGUGCCUAACACAUGCAAGUCGAGCGGGGAACAUUGAAAGCUUGCUUUUGGUGUUUCUAGCGGCGGACGGGUGAGUAACGCGUGAGCAAUCUGUCUCAGACAGGGGGAUAACGCAGCGAAAGUUGCACUAAUACCGCAUAAGACCACAGAGCCACAUGGCAUAGGGGUCAAAGGAGCAAUCCGGUCUGAGGUGAGCUCGCG